rnacentral:rRNA from 1 species
CCUACGGGAGGCAGCAGUGGGGAAUAUUGGGCAAUGGAGGAAACUCUGACCCAGCAACGCCGCGUGAAUGAUGAAGGUCUUCGGAUUGUAAAGUUCUUUUCUAAGGGAAGAAGAAAGUGACGGUACCUUAGGAAUAAGCCUCGGCUAACUACGUGCCAGCAGCCGCGGUAAUACGUAGGAGGCGAGCGUUAUCCGGAAUGACUGGGCGUAAAGGGUGCGUAGGUGGUUUGGCAAGUUAGUAGCGUAACUCCAAGGCUCAACCUUGGAACUACUACUAAAACUGUUGGACUUGAGUGCAGGAGGGGCAACCGGAAUGCCUAGUGUAGCGGUGGAAUGCGUAGAGAUUAGGAGGAACACCAGUGGCGAAGGCGGGUUGCCAGACUGCAACUGACACUGAGGCACGAAAGCGUGGGGAGCAAACAGGAUUAGAUACCCCAGUAGUC